AGAGAACAGUUUGUCAAUAUUUUAUAUACUGUUAAUAAUUCAUGGUUUUAUUAUAUAAUCAGAGAGGAAUCUCACUCCAGAGGGUCUCAGCACAGGAGGAAACAGCAGAGGAAAAAAUGAAGUGAAAGAACGCAGAACCUCAAAGUAUUAAGUGAGUGAAAGAUUGACAGCCGGUCGUGCAUGCAUCACACCAUCAGCCUGCUCUUCAAGUCUCAGCUGUAAGGCACUGCCGGUGUUGCAUCCUUGGUCCAUAUGCCUGAAACCGAACCACCCAAGAUGACAGCCAGUGGUAAAAUGCAGUUCGUGAGCAACUCUCACAGUGUUUGGCUCAAGAGGUACAAAGACUGCCUACUAUCCGUAAGAUACUGAAAGCACGCUUUCUGUGACGUGAAAAAAAAGUGGAAGAUGAUAUAUGAUGAUCUAACUGGCAUUUGAAAAAGCUCAUCACCCCUUUUUGAAGAAGAGGACCCCAGGGAAAUGUAGGAAAAGUGUACUCCUGAGGUCAGCCUGACAUUUGUCGUCUCGUGCGUGGGAAAACAUUCUCCUUGAAAAGAAGAUGGAGUCAUGACGACUUGGAAGCAGAAUGGAGAGAGGAAAGCGUUGGCUGUGAUCCCGGGCAUGUAGAGACAGCUGCUUGUAUGGUGCAGGUAGUGCUUGUGUUGCAGGAGGACGGGGAGACCACCACAGAGACCUAGGUCUCCUUGACCCAGCACAGAUAUGCGAGGAAGGAUGGCCUCUGCCUCCCCACGUGCAGCCUAAGUAGGUGCAGCAGGGAAAUCAAGCCUUAGCAGCACUUCUUUACCAAAGAGAAACCUCAGCAGAGAAGCAGGUGAGGUGAGAUGUUAAUGUACCACACCUACAAACCAAUCCAUUGGAAAGAAACAUUCUGCUCUUGCUGAAUUUGGUGCCAUGGGAUUUCUCGGGAAGAAGUUCAGUUGUGCGGUUAAAGGGACAUGUCAGACGGCAGACAGAAAAGAUCCCUGGGUGGUACCAAAGAGCACAGUUGCAGGGUAUUGAAUACAAAUAUGAUCAGCUCACAAAGGGACAAAUCCUGUCUCUGCUGAAGCCAGGAGGAGCUUUGCCAUUGACUUCAGAAGGAGCAGGAGCCAGUCCAAGAUG
rnacentral:lncRNA from 1 species